rfam:Homo sapiens chromosome X, GRCh38 reference primary assembly.
GCUGGGCACGGUGGCUCAUGCCUGUAAUCCCAGCACUUUGGGAGGCUGAGGCGGGAGGAUCACCUGAGGUCAGGAGUUCGAGACCAGCCUGGCCAACAUGGUGAAACCCUGUCUCUA